rnacentral:rRNA from 1 species
UACGGAGGGUGCAAGCGUUAUCCGGAUUUACUGGGUUUAAAGGGUGCGUAGGAGGGCAGGUAAGUCAGUGGUGAAAUCUUCGAGCUUAACUCGGAAACUGCCGUUGAUACUAUCUGUCUUGAAUACCGUGGAGGUGAGCGGAAUAUGUCAUGUAGCGGUGAAAUGCUUAGAUAUGACAUAGAACACCAAUUGCGAAGGCAGCUCGCUACACGAAUAUUGACUCUGAGGCACGAAAGCGUGGGGAUCAAACAGG